GUCCAGUUCUCAACUCUUCCGAACAGAGAUCCAGACUCAGAGUGUUUCCCAUUAAAUCCUGCCCAGCUGCCAGCAGCCCCGCGUGUGAGCAGCUACCGUGGCUGGCCGGGCCUGGGGAAGGUCCUGCUCAGAGGGGCAGCAGGCAUCAGGCGGUGUGGGGCCCUCCUCCACAGCGGGAUCGAAACCAACGUCUGUGCGUUUCUGAGCUGAUAAAAGCGCCGCCGCUUCAAGUGGCAGGCGUCAGUGGCAAGGCGUUUUGUUUCAUCCGUGUAGGUACGAACACGUGUUCGGAGUAACCUGGGUUCACUGCAUCUCUUUAACGGUCUGCCAGGCUCCCUGCAGCUCUCUUUAAGCUUGCAAGGCACACGCAGGUGUGACAGAGCGCUCCCUAGUGCGGCGUUCAGCGGAUGGGCGUGAGAGCUUAAUGAUUUUUUUCUCACCCGCAUCAACUCGUAUCGAGAAGCAAAAGGUAUCGCUUCUUCCUACAGACCUCACCGAACGCAGCGAGUGGGGUACCUAAGUAAAACUGCAGCAGCGAUGCAGUUUAACGCCCCCCUUUUGAUCCUUCAGACUGUGUAAGGUGAAUUUCCUGCCUUUUGAAUGACUUCAGUCAGCCGUGGCAGUUGUGCCCGGGCUCAGCUGCGCAGUGGCUGAAAGACGAUGGGGUUUCCAGCGGCACCUGGGGGAGGGAGGUUGGUCAGCUCCUGGGCUCAUGUGUCAGGCUCUCGUCUGAAACUUAGAAACGGCAGCUUUCCAGUGUGCACGUGGCCCGAAGUGCCGUGCUUAACGCUCGCUGCUCUUUGUGCAGGUGUUCCUGCUCGCCACGGAGACUGCUGAGUCUGCGCCCUGUCCCAGGCCGAGCACUGAACUCACCCGGACAGAGCUGCCUGAUGGGGUCAGACUGCAGGUGGCUGAACUGAAGGUCUCUGCGUGAUGGUGAGAGUGCUGCCCUUGCGGUUCCCUUUGGUUAUAUCUGCGUGGUCUCUAGGUUAUAGGAGGUAAUUUUGUCUAAGUAGAUGGU